AGGGGGGUGCUAAUACAUGCAAGUCGAGCGGACCUCUUCGGAGAUCAGCGGCGGACGGGUGAGUAACACGUGGGCAACCUGCCUGUAAGACUGGGAUAACUCCGGGAAACCGGAGCUAAUACCGGAUACUAUGUCAAACCGCAUGGUUUGACAUUCAAAGACGGUUUCGGCUGUCACUUACAGAUGGGCCCGCGGCGCAUUAGCUAGUUGGUGAGGUAAUGGCUCACCAAGGCGACGAUGCGUAGCCGACCUGAGAGGGUGAUCGGCCACACUGGGACUGAGACACGGCCCAGACUCCUACGGGAGGCAGCAGUAGGGAAUCUUCCGCAAUGGACGAAAGUCUGACGGAGCAACGCCGCGUGAGUGAUGAAGGUUUUCGGAUCGUAAAACUCUGUUGUCAGGGAAGAACAAGUGCCGGAGUAACUGCCGGCGCCUUGACGGUACCUGACCAGAAAGCCACGGCUAACUACGUGCCAGCAGCCGCGGUAAUACGUAGGUGGCAAGCGUUGUCCGGAAUUAUUGGGCGUAAAGCGCGCGCAGGCGGUUUCUUAAGUCUGAUGUGAAAGCCCCCGGCUCAACCGGGGAGGGUCAUUGGAAACUGGGAAACUUGAGUGCAGAAGAGGAGAGUGGAAUUCCACGUGUAGCGGUGAAAUGCGUAGAGAUGUGGAGGAACACCAGUGGCGAAGGCGACUCUCUGGUCUGUAAC
rnacentral:rRNA from 1 species